rnacentral:pre_miRNA from 1 species
UUAUGCAUCGAAUUGGCAAGAUGUCGGCAUAGCUGACAUUCAAACGAUUACCUAUCGGCUAUGCCACAUCCAGUCACUUUAAAUG